UCACGUUUCGGUCCGCCAAAACGAGAUCGUGAGCCGUCCGAUACGCUCCUCCCUCCGCUCGCUUCCUCUCCUCCCCUCUCCGCCUCACCCACGCCCCAAACUAGCCGCCGCACCCGCCGCCCUCCAGUACCCAGGUCCACCCAUCCGCCACCGGCCCCGCCCCCCGCCGGCCGCCGCUCCUCCUCCUUGCCGUGACCUCCCCCGACCUUCUGCAAGCGCGCGCGGACCCGCACCACGCACUCGCUCGACGCGCCGCCGGCUCCCUCGCCAUCUCCCCCGACGGCUCCAUCUCCGCCGAGCUCUCCCACCCAUCCCGCCCGCGGCCUCUCGUGCUCCUCCUCUCCAUACUGCCCCUGCACGCGCUGCAUCUCCAGAUCCCGAACGUCCUCCUCGCCCCACCAGGCAGGCGCGCUGCGUGGCCGGACGGAGCGAGGCGGCGCAGCAGUGCCGGUUCGCCCCGAGGAGGCGGCACGGCUGGGACAAAGCGCGUCCGCGACCAUGCCAGGUUGUUGGAGCAAGGCUGCGCGGGGCGACCUCUAUGCGCUAGCCUCCCUCCAGCUGCAUCGGCUUAGUGGCGGCGGCGACACACGGGGCCAAGAGGAGGCGGGGCGGCCGCUAGGCCUUGGCGAUGUGGCCUCUUCACGCCGGCCCCUUCCGAUGUCCCCUAGAUCCUCUUGCUGUCGGCGGCGUUCAUGGCGGAAGGGCACGGCCGCGCGGUCGGUGAUGCACCAAGAGGAUGCGACUGUGGCAGUGUGGCCCGCCUCGGUGCAUCGCCAUCCCCGUCCCCAUCUCAUCUACGAUGCUACUACUACCGCAGGAGACAGUCAUCCAGUCGGCAACAACAACCUCUCCUCGAUUAAGCUGAUGCUUCACCUCCGACACAUCCGGCGGCUUGGGCCAUCGGAGUGGAGCUUCGACUUAGGGGCCGACGACAUGGCGUAUCCCCUGGGGGGUUCCUGCUCCACAAUCUCACCUGCACAAACCCAGCCACCACCCAUGUAUUCAUAGGAGGUGCCGCCUUCCGUUUUCUUCAAAGGUUUCCCCUUCUAGAUCUUAUCAAUCUGGUGACUGGCUGUAGGAAGAGCAUUGCCUUGCUACCCUUUUAAACCUUUGCCUUUGCAACAUCUCUGUAUGCUGACAAGGAAGAGAGUUUCAGGAGGAGAUUGUGAAGCCUUAGCAGUUUUUUCCAUCUAGGGAUAGAAGUGCAGUUGCAUCUCCUCUUCGAUUAUUUCUGCAACAAUACUAGCAGGGACUGUUCAUAUGGAAGAGGAUUCAUUUGCAAUGUUUGGCAUGAAUGUCUCGGUGGGAUAUAUUUUAGUAAUGCAGCAAGCUGGUAGAGAUGUGCAGGCUGCAAACUGGUAUUUGAUUCAUUUACCUCUUGCAGGUUUGAUAAGUGCUAAAUCAUAUGUAGAGUACUUUAAAUUCUAGAGCUGUCAGCAAUAGAAUAUAUGGCCCCAGUUAGAUGAUUUUAGCACCUACUAUGGAUUGUUAGAAAUUUGUCAGGUUGAGAGCUUGUAAAUGUUACUGAACUUUCUCUUCAGCUGCACAAUUAUGGAAAAAAAGAUGUAUGGAAAGUUCCUCAAGUAAAUAACUGGCAUGUUCCUGAUUAGGAUGGACCUCUAAAUUGUUCUUGUUCUAGCGUUCUGCCUACCUGUGCUAUUCUUCUAUACAUCAUCUUUGUUGCUGCCCUGUCUGAUCAUUCCAUCUUUGCAACUGCAAUUAAGAUACAAGGAUAAACUAGCAUGGCAAAUAAUCAUGGCAGGAUGCUGAAAGUGGGGGUUCUUCUAUAGAUAUGCAUUAGUGACAUAGUUUACUUGGCUUGCAAUUAUUGCUCUUGAACAUUUAUCCUUUUCUCUGAGUGGUGUGAAAUGCCGUGGCUUGGGCUGUAGGCAUCGAUUUGGGCAGCAUUUCUGACAACACGUGAGAACAGUCCUUGAAACUUUCCUGGUAAUUGUCGAAUUGGCAUGAUGCUUUUACCUGUUCGAUGUGUACUUGAUGAGUGCAAUUCAAGGUUGGUUUUAGUCUUGGUCAGGGUUAGUUGAGAACUAGAAAGAAGAAAUUGUUGAUGAGUAAUACUUCCUCUGAUUUUGCAUGCUUUCUGUUUGUACUUGUCAUUUCAGGCACCAUCAUAUGUGUCCAACUUGCUUGAAAGGUCUUGGUGCUUUGAGUUUCUUUUAGUAAUCUCUAGCUCAUCAGGAAUUAUUGUGCAUGCAUGCGUUGGAAACUUCAACCUGAACCGAUGAUCUUGGCAAUCAACUGAAGCUUCUUUAAUUUAUUUGGUAAUCAAUUGAAGCUUCUUGAUUGGUUUGGAAUAUAAUAAUGGCUGCAGAGUUAACUUGGAAUAGUAAAGCUACGGAUCAAUCUAUGUUUGAGUGUUACUGUUUGCCAUAGAUUGCCUGCAAGGCUGCAAGUUCUAGCGCUAAAAGCAUGAUACAUUCUGCUGCAUUUCUGUGAUAGUGCCUUGCUAGCGCUAAAAGCAUGAUACAUUCUGCUCCUCACACAUUUGAAGAGAUGAUGCAAGUUUCAGAAGCAACAUGAUGUGCCCUUGAAAAUUGCAAAUAAGUUUUGACUUUCAGCAAUAUCCUUAGGAAACCAGGCUAAAUUUAACCAAAAAUCUUAUGAACAGUAGGUAUUGACUAGGCUGCAUUUGUCCCGUCAAGGAUGUCAUGGACAUGCUGGAAGAGUAUGAGUGGCUAGCUUAAAUCUAGGUAAGAGGAAAAGGCUCAAGGUUCCCAAGAAAAGGUAACAUGAAUAUCCAGCGGGUCCUCUCACCGCAUUUGCAGUCUCAGAUCAAACAGAUGUGAUCAAAAGAGAUGAGUGGAAUGCUUGGAGGCAUGGGCCCAUGAGCGGUAAUUUUACAUGUUCAAGUCUUGUUUUAGUGCAUACUCCAUGUGACUCUGUUAAUGUGCUUUUGAGAAGGCGAACUUUUGGAAGCAUUCUGGUCUUAUGUGUGCAUUUCCUUUAUGGUGAGGGUAUCAUGAUAUUAGAGCACAACAUCAUUGGUCAUUGCAUGUUUGUUAGCAGUGCUCUAAGCUGGUUGGUUGGAGUGUUGGACCCUAGCAGAGCACGCCUAUUUGUUCGGAGGAAGCCCAGAUGGUAUGGAUGCGAAACGUGGGGCUCCAAUCUUCUGGAAGUUGUAUGGGGGGAUUGAGUUUCGAUAAAGCGUUUGUCAUUGAGUUUUGAUGUACAUUCAUACAAAUGAGUGCUUCAAAUAUUUUUGUCUUGAAAUACGUGCAUGUAUGUGCUGUGGAAAUUGUCACCGGAACGUUGGGCUCUCCUACAUUUAACGGUGAACUUGAUAUCAUUAACGUUCUAGAAUUCUGUUUUCCUGUUC